UCGAGGGGCAGCAUGGUCUUAGCUUGCUAAGGCCGAUGGCGACCGGCGCACGGGUGAGUAACACGUAUCCAACCUGCCGUCUACUCUUGGACAGCCUUCUGAAAGGAAGAUUAAUACAAGAUGGCAUCAUGAGUCCGCAUGUUCACAUGAUUAAAGGUAUUCCGGUAGACGAUGGGGAUGCGUUCCAUUAGAUAGUAGGCGGGGUAACGGCCCACCUAGUCUUCGAUGGAUAGGGGUUCUGAGAGGAAGGUCCCCCACAUUGGAACUGAGACACGGUCCAAACUCCUACGGGAGGCAGCAGUGAGGAAUAUUGGUCAAUGGGCGAGAGCCUGAACCAGCCAAGUAGCGUGAAGGAUGACUGCCCUAUGGGUUGUAAACUUCUUUUAUAAAGGAAUAAAGUCGGGUAUGCAUACCCGUUUGCAUGUACUUUAUGAAUAAGGAUCGGCUAACUCCGUGCCAGCAGCCGCGGUAAUACGGAGGAUUCGAGCGUUAUCCGGAUUUAUUGGGUUUAAAGGGAGCGUAGAUGGAUGUUUAAGUCAGUUGUGAAAGUUUGCGGCUCAACCGUAAAAUUGCAGUUGAUACUGGAUAUCUUGAGUGCAGUUGAGGCAGGCGGAAUUCGUGGUGUAGCGGUGAAAU
rnacentral:rRNA from 1 species